GUGGAUGUAGCUCAAUGUUAGAGCACUUGUCUACCAUGCAUGAAGCCCUGGGUUUGAUCCUAGUACCACA
rnacentral:tRNA from 1 species